rnacentral:rRNA from 1 species
UACGUAGGUGGCAAGCGUUAUCCGGAUUUACUGGGCGUAAAGAGCGUGUAGGCGGCCAAACAGGUCCGUUGUGAAAACUGGAGGCUUAACCUCCAGACGUCGACGGAAACCGUGUGGCUAGAGUCCGGAAGAGGAGAGUGGAAUUCCUGGUGUAGCGGUGAAAUGCGCAGAUAUCAGGAAGAACACCAAUGGCGAAGGCAGCUCUCUGGGACGGUACUGACGCUGAGACGCGAAAGCGUGGGGAGCGAACAGG